rnacentral:lncRNA from 1 species
AAGAAAACAAAAUUUUCUUAGGACAUGCAUCAUUACUAAGAAUUUUUCCGUAAAUUUAUCUGUGCGCCUUCUACAGUUACCUGUGUGUCCCCUGUGGUACCUAUGGAAACCAGUUGUUGGGAAAUCCUUGUUAAGGUAUCUGAUGAAUCUCCAUAUCUCUUACACUGCACACAAUAAAUACCCGUGGAAUGAAUGAAUACAUAUAUGGAUGGAUGGACAGACGGAUGAUGCAUGGUAGAUGGAUGAAUACUUGAUCCCAUGCCCAUUGAGGGUUUGGGUCAGGGGACUGAUGUGAGCAGACACACAGAAGCACAGGCAGCCCCCGGCCUCCAGCAGAUUCUUCCAACCCAACUGGAAAGACAUGAUAUGGACUUGGGAAUUCUCUAACUCUGAAAGGCCCCCUCUGCUGAGGUGUCCCAUGUUCACAGACAGUGUGCAUGACCAGAGGUCAGAAAGAAGGGAGCUCACUCUGCUCUGGGCAGGGGGAGAUCAGGGAAGGCUGCCUGGAGGAGGUGAGGCUGGAGUGGGGCACUGAAGGAUGGGAAAAGUUAUGUGGAUGGAGAGGCGGAGGGAACAAAGGCCUGGGAAUCUGAUGGGCCAAAGGGAAGACAGGAGACAAGUAAAGCUUGGAGAUUUUGUCGAGAAAAGAAGAGAGGAGGCAAUUAAGGUGGGAGAAAUGGCACCAGAAAACCACUGAAAAUGCCCCAGUGGGGUUUGUUACUUUUAAAAAAAAGCAACCACAAAGAAAGACAAUGAAACAUCCAUGCUUUCUUUAGUAAGGUGUAAGGAGAAGUGGCGCCAAGAAACAGCAUGGAUUUUGGAGUGAGGCAGACCUGGGCUAGAAUUUCAGCCUUGCUGAUUUUUCACUGUGUGACUCUGGGCAGGUGACUUUACCUCUCUGAACCAUAGUUUCCUUUUCUAGAAAAUGGGCCUUGUAAUAGUACCUCUUAGGGCUGCUGUGAAGGAAGGAUAACAUGGAAGCAACAUGCCUAUCAUAGUGCUUUGUGUAUGGUAAGUACAUUGUUGAUGUUAUUGUUAAUACUAUGACUACU